AUGUCGGUGCUUAUGUUAGACGUCGUUACCAGUAUUAACCCUCCAUUAGCGCAUCUGGGCACCGGUUUUGUUGCUUAUUUCCGUCGAAGAACAGUCCUAAUAAUAACAAAUGAGCAUGUUGUCCAAGGAGCUAUGUUUGUUAGGGUUAGGCUCCCGGGCGGAAGCCAACAGUUCACUGGAGAAGUGCUGGUGGCAGACGACCAAGUGGACCUUGCUAUAGUUCGAUUGGUUAAUGUGGAGGGACCGUUUCAACGUAUGGUGUUCGCGGAUGUACCUAUUGAUAACUUUCCAUGGACGGCAUAUGCUCAUGGAUAUUUCUUGGUCCUUGGAGCGCCGGUCAUCAACCCUGCGAGGGCUCCCGGUGAGAUUAACGGCGCGUUCUUUCGAAACAAUGUUCACUACCUACAAGGGAAUUUCGCACUUCAGCAUGGAAUGUCCGGUGGACCAGUUACGAUGGGAAACAGAGUCAUUGGAGUCAGUGCCGCAGCUGCGUGGGGAUCGAGCGUCAUUGUUUCCCUGCGUACUGUACACAUGACACUUAUGUUUUGGUGUGGUCUUAAUGACGGAGACCCUACUAUUGAUGAGAUGCUAGAAAUGCUUGCUGCUGGUGCCGCCUAA
rnacentral:rRNA from 1 species